GCGUGCAGCUUCGCGCCUCAGGAGCGCCUAAGCCGCCCUCGUCCGGUGCGGGCGGGUUUGAUCCCGGCAGGGAAGGAACGGGCCCCGCUGAGAGGAGCAAACCCGAGCAGCUCAAGGCAGCCCCGGCAAUGGUGUGACUUGAAACAUCUCUUCUCUGAUACAGCUGUACUUGGUUGCAUGGGCAAACUUGGGUCUACCCGCCCAGACAUCUGGCAUGUAAGGAGUUGGUUUUAGCUGGAUCUGUUUCUGGACUCGAUUUGUUACGCAGCUGUAUGAAUGCUUGCUGGCAUGGUGAAGCAUGCUGCUAGGGACAAGAGAAUAGAAGGUGAACUUUUUGGGGACAGUCUCCUCUCAUGUUGACUUAAGACAAUCAUAUAACACCAACCUCAGAGAUGCAUACCAUGAUGGCUUUGUUAUCUUCUAGGGUUGCACAUCUUUCUGUUGAAUGAGUAGA